rnacentral:rRNA from 1 species
AAGUCGAGGGGUAACAGAGGUAGCUUGCUACUUGCUGACGACCGGCGCACGGGUGCGUAACGCGUAUACAAUCUACCUUAUACAGAGGGAUAGCCUUUAGAAAUGAAGAUUAAUACCUCAUGGUCUAUUAAUAUAGCAUUAUAUAAAUAGUAAAGCUUCGGCGGUAUAAGAUGAGUAUGCGUCCUAUUAGUUAGUUGGUAAGGUAACGGCUUACCAAGACAACGAUAGGUAGGGGCCCUGAGAGGGGGAUCCCCCACACUGGUACUGAGACACGGACCAGACUCCUACGGGAGGCAGCAGUGAGGAAUAUUGGACAAUGGAGGUAACUCUGAUCCAGCCAUGCCGCGUGCAGGAAGACGGCCCUAUGGGUUGUAAACUGCUUUUAUAUAGGAAGAAACCUUUUCACGUGUGAGAAGCUGACGGUACUAUAAGAAUAAGGACCGGCUAACUCCGUGCCAGCAGCCGCGGUAAUACGGAGGGUCCGAGCGUUAUCCGGAAUCAUUGGGUUUAAAGGGUCCGUAGGCGGGAAUCUAAGUCAGUGGUGAAAUCUUACAGCUCAACUGUAAAAUUGCCAUUGAUACUGGAUUUCUUGAAUUAGUGUGAAGUGAUUAGAAUGUGUAGUGUAGCGGUGAAAUGCAUAGAUAUUACAC